GGAUGAACGCUAGCGGCAGGCUUAACACAUGCAAGUCGAGGGGGAACAUUGUAGCUUGGCACAGAUGACGACCGGCGCACGGGUGCGUAACGCGUAUAGAACCUACCUUUUACUUAGGGAUAGCCUUUAGAAAUGAAGAUUAAUACCUUAUAGUAUUGAGUUCCGGCAUCGGGAUUUAAUUAAAGAUUUAUUGGUAAAAGAUGGCUAUGCGUCCUAUUAGUUAGUUGGUAAGGUAACGGCUUACCAAGACAGCGAUAGGUAGGGGUCCUGAGAGGGAGAUCCCCCACACUGGUACUGAGACACGGACCAGACUCCUACGGGAGGCAGCAGUGAGGAAUAUUGGGCAAUGGAGGCAACUCUGACCCAGCCAUGCCGCGUGCAGGAAGACGGCCCUAUGGGUUGUAAACUGCUUUUAUACAGGAAGAAACACUGGUAUGUAUACCAGCUUGACGGUACUGUAAGAAUAAGGACCGGCUAACUCCGUGCCAGCAGCCGCGGUAAUACGGAGGGUCCGAGCGUUAUCCGGAAUCAUUGGGUUUAAAGGGUCCGCAGGCGGUCAAUUAAGUCAGAGGUGAAAUACCAUAGCUCAACUAUGGAACUGCCUUUGAUACUGGUUGACUUGAGUCAUAUGGAAGUAGAUAGAAUGUGUAGUGUAGCGGUGAAAUGCAUAGAUAUUACACAGAAUACCGAUUGCGAAGGCAGUCUACUACGUAUGUACUGACGCUGAGGGACGAAAGCGUGGGGAGCGAACAGGAUUAGAUACCCUGGUAGUCCACGCCGUAAACGAUGGAUACUAGUUGUUGGGAAUAUUCUCAGUGACUAAGCGAAAGUGAUAAGUAUCCCACCUGGGGAGUACGGUCGCAAGACUGAAACUCAAAGGAAUUGACGGGGGCCCGCACAAGCGGUGGAGCAUGUGGUUUAAUUCGAUGAUACGCGAGGAACCUUACCUGGACUUAAAUGUAGCAUGACAGCUUUAGAGAUAGAGUUUUCUUCGGACAGAUUACAAGGUGCUGCAUGGUGUUGUCGUCAGCUCGUGCCGUGAGGUGUUAGGUUAAGUCCUGCAACGAGCGCAACCCCUAUCUUUAGUUGCCAGCGAUUCGGUCGGGGACUCUAAAGAGACUGCCAGCGCAAGCUGUGAGGAAGGUGGGGAUGACGUCAAAUCAUCACGGCCCUUACGUCCUGGGCUACACACGUGCUACAAUGGUAGAGACAGAGGGCAGCCACCUGGCGACAGGGAGCGAAUCCUUAAACUCUAUCUCAGUUCGGAUCGAAGUCUGCAACUCGACUUCGUGAAGCUGGAAUCGCUAGUAAUCGCGCAUCAGCCAUGGCGCGGUGAAUACGUUCCCGGGCCUUGUACACACCGC
rnacentral:rRNA from 1 species